AUUGAACGCUGGCGGAAUGCUUUACACAUGCAAGUCGAACGGCAGCACGGGGCCAACCCUGGCGGCGCGUGGCGAACGGGGGCGUAAUACAUCGGAACGUGCCCGGUCGCGGGGGAUAACGUAGCGAACGUUACGCUAAUACCGCAUACGCUCUGCGGAUCAAAGCGGGGGACCUUCGCGCCUCGCGCGAUCGGAGCGGCCGAUGUCCGAUUAGGUAGUUGGUGGGGUAAAGGUCUACCCAGCCGACGAUCUGUAGCUGGUCUGGGAGGACGACCAGCCACACUGGGACUGAGACACGGCCCAGACUCCUACGGGAGGCAGCAGUGGGGAAUUUUGGACAAUGGGCGCAAGCCUGAUGCAGCCAUGCCGCGUGCAGGACGAAGGCCUUCGGGUUGUAAACUGCUUUUGUAGGGGACGAAGAGGCUCUGGCUAAUACCUGGGGCUCAUGACGGUACCGUAAGAAUAAGCACCGGCUAACUACGUG
rnacentral:rRNA from 1 species